rnacentral:rRNA from 1 species
GUAGGUGGCAAGCGUUGUCCGGAAUUAUUGGGCGUAAAGCGCGCGCAGGCGGUUCUUUAAGUCUGAUGUGAAAGCCCACGGCUCAACCGUGGAGGGUCAUUGGAAACUGGAGAACUUGAGUACAGACGAGGAAAGCGGAAUUCCACGUGUAGCGGUGAAAUGCGUAGAGAUGUGGAGGAACACCAGUGGCGAAGGCGGCUUUCUGGUCUGUAACUGACGCUGAGGCGCGAAAGCGUGGGGAGCAAACAGGGAUUAGAUACCCUGGUAGUCCACGCCGUAAACGAUGAGUGCUAAGUGUUAGGGGGUUUCCGCCCCCUUAGUGCUGCAGCUAACGCAUUAAGCACUCCGCCUGGGGAGUACGGCCGCAAGGCUG